AGCAGAACUCUUCAAGCCCUGCGUUGUGUGCCAGAUACUAUGGUGACAGAAGAAUGAAAGAGACACAGCCUGGCCCCCAGAGGCUGAAGAAAGGCUGACAAGUCCAUCAGGAACUAAUCCCUGGCAGGACCUGGCUGUGACGCAGAUGAGAAACAUCAUGGGGCACAUGACAGAAGAAAUUAACAGAAAAAUAAGAGCGGGC
rnacentral:lncRNA from 1 species